rnacentral:rRNA from 1 species
CACGUGGGUAAUCUACCCUUUAGUCCGGGAUAACCCUUCGAAAGAAGGGCUAAUACCAGAGAGACCACGAGGACAUCAGUUCUUGAGGUUAAAGAUGGGGACCUUCGGGCCUAUCGCUAGAGGAUGAGCUCGCGACCUAUUAGCUAGUUGGUGGGGUAAUGGCCUACCAAGGCAGUGAUGGGUAGCUGGUCUGAGAGGAUGAUCAGUCACACUGGAACUGAGACACGGUCCAGACUCCUACGGGAGGCAGCAGUGGGGAAUUUUGCACAAUGGGCGCAAGCCUGAUGCAGCAAUGCCGCGUGGGUGAAGAAGGCUUUCGGGUUGUAAAUCCCUGUCGGCUGGGAAAAACGAUCUGUUGGUGAAUAAUCAACGGGUGUGAUGGUACCAGCAAAGGAAGAGGCGGCUAACUCUGUG